rnacentral:sRNA from 1 species
AUAUCUCUCCGUACGGGAAGGAUGAGAAGCUUCGACUAAGGUUCGACUCGAGCGAAAGCGAGAAAGCGUUGCCGCAGGCAACGACCCGAAGGGCGAAGCGCGCAGCGCUGAGUAAUCCUUCCCCCACCACCA